rnacentral:rRNA from 1 species
CCUACGGGUGGCUGCAGUGGGGGAUAUUGGACAAUGGGGGGAACCCUGAUCCAGCCAUGCCGCGUGUGUGAAGAAGGCCCUCGGGUUGUAAAGCACUUUCAGUGAGGAAGAACGCCUGGUGGUUAAUACCCAUCAGGAAAGACAUCACUCACAGAAGAAGCACCGGCUAACUCCGUGCCAGCAGCCGCGGUAAUACGGAGGGUGCGAGCGUUAAUCGGAAUUACUGGGCGUAAAGCGCGCGUAGGUGGCUUGAUAAGCCGGUUGUGAAAGCCCCGGGCUCAACCUGGGAACGGCAUCCGGAACUGUCAAGCUAGAGUGCAGGAGAGGAAGGUAGAAUUCCCGGUGUAGCGGUGAAAUGCGUAGAGAUCGGGAGGAAUACCAGUGGCGAAGGCGGCCUUCUGGACUGACACUGACACUGAGGUGCGAAAGCGUGGGUAGCAAACAGGAUUAGAUACCCCAGUAGUC